CUACGGGACGCUGCAGUGGGGAAUAUUGGACAAUGGGGGAAACCCUGAUCCAGCAAUGCCGCGUGUGUGAAGAAGGCCUGCGGGUUGUAAAGCACUUUCGGUUGGGAGGACUGCUUCUAGCACUAAUAUUGUUGGAAGUUGACGUUACCUUCAGAAGAAGCACCGGCUAACUCCGUGCCAGCAGCCGGCGGUAAUACGGAGGGUGCAAGCGUUAAUCGGAAUUACUGGGCGUAAAGCGCGCGUAGGCGGCUAGAUCAGUCGGGUGUGAAAGCCCCGGGCUUAACCUGGGAACUGCAUCCGAUACUGUCUAGCUUGAGUACAGGAGAGGAGAGUGGAAUUCCACAUGUAGCGGUGAAAUGCGUAGAUAUGUGGAGGAACACCAAUGGCGAAGGCAGCUCUCUGGCCUGAUACUGACGCUGAGGUGCGAAAGCGUGGGGAGCAAACAGGAUUAGAUACCCGAGUAGUC
rnacentral:rRNA from 1 species